rnacentral:tRNA from 1 species
GGGGGCCUGGAUGAUCAUUGGUGAACCCCAUUCGGCACACCUGCUAAGCGGGUUGAGGGCUCAAACCCUCUCGCGGGUUCAAAUCCCGCCGCCUCCG